GAGAAAGGUUUGGAAUAGGUGCGAUCUAAGUCGAAUAAGUCAGAACCAGGCUCGAAAUGCUGUGGGUACGCCAGAACAAAGCUGGAGAAGCCAUAGAACCUUGAAUCGAAGAACAUAUGAACGACAACCAUCGAGGUCAGACCUCAAUACUUCAAACUCCCAUCGUUUAAGAGUCGAGAUAGAUGGGUAUAGGCCGUCUAUGGACUGAGAGGCCAUGAAUUCCGGUAAGUUGGUGGUUGAAAAUGGUAGAGGACGAUUAGGGUUUCAAGAACAUUCAAGAUAGUUUGAGAGAUGAAGGGUAAUCAGAG
rnacentral:lncRNA from 1 species